rnacentral:ncRNA from 18 species
UAAGCCAGAAGAGGUGCGUCGCCCAGGUAAAGUGUCAGAGGAGCCGUGAUCCGCUGAAGACAUUCGAGGGGGAGCGACGCCGAGACACGGUGAUUUCGGCCAUCAGCGUGUCGACUGCAGGGGCUGAAUCCCCUGGGUUGUCACCAGUGCCGUUCCUUUAGGGCGGUCAACAAGGUGGAGCGCUUCUGGGUGU